rnacentral:ncRNA from 1 species
CUUAUCCAGAGCGGCUGAGGGACUGGCCCGAUGAAGCCCGGCAACCGGCGUGUCACAGCGCAAGGUGCCAAUUCCAGCAGCGUGAUUUCCACGCUGGCAGAUAAG